rnacentral:rRNA from 1 species
AAUCAACGCUGGCGGCGCGCCUAACACAUGCAAGUCGAACGAGAAAGCAGGAGCAAUCUUGUGAGUAAAGUGGCGUACGGGUGAGUAACACGUGGAUCAUCUACCCUUUUGUGGGGAUAACUCUGGGAAACCGGAGCUAAUACCGCAUAAGCUCGAGAGAGGAAAGCAGCAAUGCGCAGGAGGAGGAGUCCGCGGCCGAUUAGCUAGUUGGUAGGUAAAGCCUACCAAGGCAACGAUCGGUAGCCGGCCUGAGAGGGCACACGGCCACACUGGCACUGAAACACGGGCCAGACUCCUACGGAAGGCAGCA